UAAGUGCUGUGCAGCUGGAGCCUCUCUACUUCAAAAAGCACCUCUGCUCUAAAGAGAGCUGAGCUUGGUUAAAUUAUGACUUCAUAAAGCUACGAUCGAAUUCCAAGCCUCCUGCUCUCUGCUGCAAUAGUUUAGGACAUCAUUGCCAUUAACCUGCAAUUUUCAGAACUUUAGCUGGCCAAACACUUCCCAGAGCUGAUUCCCACUGGAACUACUUCUGCUGUUGCUGCACGAUACCCAAAGAAUUUACAGGAGCAAAAGCGCCCAAAUGAUUCAGAGAUGUUCGUACCAUCUUGAGAGUCACACAACCAGCCGCGUUGAGAAUCUCCACCGUGCCUGGGAAGUACAGAACGUCCUGCUGAUCCCACAGUCCUCAGAGAUUACCACCACAUCCACAGAACAGACCACACUCAUGCAACCCAGAUUCCUGGCUGUAGGAAUAGCUGAUCUCAAGGGCGGCAGUGCCAAUGCUUCUGAUUUCAUCACCAGCGGAGUAGAACUGAAUGUUUCACUGACAUAUUGAAAUCUUGCACACUGGGUUAUAUCAGAGCUUAAGCUUUUAGUUUGUGUUUUUCUAGAGAAAGCUAUUUAAAUUCCUUAAAUAACACGUCUUUGAACACAGCCAAACACAAGAACACAGUCUCCACACAAAGAAACUCCAGAUGCAGCCGCAGAUACUUUGAGCAGACUGUAUUUUUGAACACAGUGAGCCCCCAAGUGUCCCAACAGAUGCUCAGCAGAGGAUGGGCUCUCGGGUAAUGUGAUCACUAAGGGGGUGGAAGGUAAAAGAAAUGACCAAGAAGGAGAAGGAGAGGGACACAACAUUUGUGACCCACCGCUAGAACACCUGCACCUAGAAGAUGAUAUUUUGCUGUAGUGCCACGCUACACAAAGGAUUUACUUGUGACUGUGCCACAGCCCACAUCCAAGCCAUAGAAUCAUUCAGGUUGUAAAAGACCACUAAGAGCACUAAAUCCAACCCCAACCCAGCCCCAUCAUGCCCACUAACUGUGUUCCUCGGUGGAACAUCUCCACUGUUCUUGAACACCUUCAGGGAUGCAGAUUCCACCUGCGCCAGUGCCUCACCACUCUUUCUGAAAAGAAAUGCUUCCCCCCAAAAUAAGUUUAGACUAUGGCUCACUCUGGGAACCUGGACUGGUUCUGGUGUUGGUGAAAGGGCACAGAUUUGUCCAGAUAAGGUGUUUUCAGGUAUUUUCUCAGUCUGGCAUAUCUUAUGGUCAGUAUUUUCCCCCAUAUCCUCAAUACUGAGUUAUUUAUAAGGAAGAAAAGAAACACAUCUCAUGAAACAGAGCAUAACAGGAGGCCAAAGAGAGAUCUCUAAUUCCAAAAGCGGCAUUGACUUUGCCUCCUGUUUGCCUGCAGGAUGGGAACAGGACACAGCCAUCACUUUGGCCCUUGCUCAGUGUGGUGACAUGCUAACAGCACUCCAGUUCCAAUGGAACGUUCAGCAUGCGCUUAAGUGCUUGGAUGGAUUUAGGAAUAUCAAAGUUGUUCAGUGAAUCAGCUCUGCUGCUUACUGUGCAGCACACCUUCCUCAACCA